rnacentral:rRNA from 1 species
CCCUUAGAUGUUCUGGGCCGCACGCGCGCUACACUGAUGCAUUCAACGAGUCUAAAACCUGCUCUGAUAGGGGUGGGUAAUCUUUUGAAUGUGCAUCGUGAUUGGGAUAGAUGAUUGCAAUUUUUCAUCUUCAACGAGGAAUGCCUAGUAAACGCAAGUCACCAGCUUGCAUUGAUUACGUCCCUGCCCUUUGUACACACCGCCCGUCGCUCCUACCGAUUGAAUGAUCCGAUGAAUAUCAUGGAUUGAGGAUGCAAGCAGGUUCGCCUGUCUUCAUCUUCGAGAAGUGAAGUAAAUCUUAUCAUUUAGAGGAAGGAGAAGUCGUAACA